AUAGAAUUUAUGGAUCCUUAUUUGCAAGAAAGAAUUACUUCUACCAAAAAAGGAUCCAUAACUUUUAUUCAAGCAGUUUAUGUACCUGUGGACGAUUUGACUGACCCUGCUCCUGCCACGACAUUUGCACAUUUAG